rnacentral:rRNA from 1 species
GAUGAACGCUGGCGGCGUGCCUAAUACAUGCAAGUCGAGCGAACGGACGAGAAGCUUGCUUCUCUGAUGUUAGCGGCGGACGGGUGAGUAACACGUGGAUAACCUACCUAUAAGACUGGGAUAACUUCGGGAAACCGUAGCUAAUACCGGAUAAUAUUUUGAACCGCAUGGUUCAAAAGUGAAAGACGGUCUUGCUGUCACUUAUAGAUGGAUCCGCGCUGCAUUAGCUAGUUGGUAAGGUAACGGCUUACCAAGGCAACGAUGCAUAGCCGACCUGAGAGGGUGAUCGGCCACACUGGAACUGAGACACGGUCCAGACUCCUACGGGAGGCAGCAGUAGGGAAUCUUCGCAAAGGGCGAAAGCCUGACGGAGCAACGCCGCGUGAGUGAUGAAGGUCUUCGGAUCGUAAAACUCUGUUAUUAGGGAAGAACAUAUGUGUAAGUAACUGUGCACAUCUUGACGGUACCUAAUCAGAAAGCCACGGCUAACUACGUG